AAGUCGUAACAAGGUCUCCGUUGGUGAACCAGCGGAGGGAUCAUUACAAAAAAAAUAGCGAGCAGCAGCUCACUAAACCCACUGUUUACCUACCUACUGUACUGCUUCGGCAGGCGGCCCCCGGGGGGGCGACUACCUGCAAAGGCGCCUGCCGACGGCAACCCAGAACUCUUUACUGUCAGUUGUAACUCUGAGCCAUAAUACAAACCUAAACAAAACUUUCAACAACGGAUCUCUUGGUUUGG
rnacentral:misc_RNA from 1 species